rnacentral:rRNA from 1 species
CGUCGCCACGGUAAUACGAAGGGUGCAAGCGUUAAUCGGAAUUACUGGGCGUAAAGCGUGCGUAGGCGGUGAGUUAAGUCUGCUGUGAAAUCCCCGGGCUCAACCUGGGAAUGGCAGUGGAUACUGGCUCGCUAGAGUGUGUCAGAGGAUGGUGGAAUUCCCGGUGUAGCGGUGAAAUGCGUAGAGAUCGGGAGGAACAUCCGUGGCGAAGGCGGCCAUCUGGGACAACACUGACGCUGAGGCACGAAAGCGUGGGGAGCAAACAGGAUUAGAUACCCCGGUAGUCCCUGUCUCUUAUACC